AUUCUCCGGCAACCUGAAUCUCCUUUUGAACUUACCGCUGCUCCUCUCCAUACGGUGCCACUGAUCGUUCUUCUCCUCUUUCUCUCUGCUUCUCUCACCGCUGAUCUGUAAAAUCCUUCCUUCUUCUACUUCAACUUUAACCUCCUCUUUCUUGAUCCCCGGAACAUCCACUUUGAAGACGUGAGCUUGUGGGGUCUCUUUCCAAUCAAUUUUUGCAUUUGCAAAAGCAGAGAUUUCACGAGCAGAGGAUGGGGUGUUGGCAAUUGGGAAGCCCUCGAAGGGAUCCCAUAGGUCAAGGGAAAAUGGGUCGAAGAUAUUGCUUCUCCGACCACCAAAGAAGCUUGGAAUCAGAGACAUUUGUUGUUUGAAGAAAACAGAGGAUCUUAGAUUGUGGUGCUUAAUUUGCUUGAUUGCUUGGUGAUGGACAAACUAAAGAAAGUACGGUGGUAUUUAUAGUCGAUGAAUCUGAGAAACUCGAGUGUAUUCUAGCCUCUUCUUUGCUUCAUUUUAGAUACGGAACAGUCAGAGACUUCUACAAUAUUCCAGACAUAUUGUUUUUAUGAGAAGGAAU
rnacentral:misc_RNA from 1 species